CAAGAGCGUAUGUAAAAGUUGUUGCAGUUAAAAAGCUCGUAGUUGAACCUUGGGUUUGGUUGGCCGGUCCGCUUUUUUGCGAGUACUGGAUUCAACCGAGCCUUUCCUUCUGGCUAACCAGUCGUUUCGGCGGCUGGCGAACCAGGAUUUUUACUUUGAGAAAAUUAGAGUGUUCAAAGCAGGCAUUAGCUUGAAUAUAUUAGCAUGGAAUAAUAGAAUAGGACGUAAUGGUUCUAUUUUGUUGGUUUCUAGGACCAUCGUAAUGAUUAAUAGGGACGGUCGGGGGCAUCAGUAUUCAGUUGUCAGAGGUGAAAUUCUUGGAUUUACUGAAGGCUAACUACUGCGAAAGCAUUUGCCAAGGACGUUUUCAUUAA
rnacentral:rRNA from 1 species